UACGUAGGGUGCAAGCGUUAAUCGGAAUUACUGGGCGUAAAGCGUGCGCAGGCGGUUUUGUAAGUCUGACGUGAAAUCCCCGGGCUCAACCUGGGAAUUGCGUUGGAGACUGCAAGGCUAGAAUCUGGCAGAGGGGGGUGAGAAUUCCACGUGUAGCAGUGAAAUGACGUAGAGAUGUGGAGGAACACCGAUGGCGAAGGCAGCCCCCUGGGUCAAGAUUGACGCUCAUGCACGAAAGCGUGGGGAGCAAACAGG
rnacentral:rRNA from 1 species